UAGUCCACGCCCUAAACGAUGCUCACUCGGUAUUGGCGAUAUAAUGUCAGUGCCUAAGGGAAACCAUUAAGUGAGCCACCUGGGGAGUACGUUCGCAAGAAUGAAGCCCAAAGGAAUUGACGGGGAUCCGCACAAGCGGUGGAGCAUGUGGUUUAAUUCGAUGAUACGCGAGGAACCUUACCUAGGCUCUAGUGCGAGCGCAAUCUGGUGAAAGCCGGAGUUCCUUCGGGACGCGAAGCAAGGUGCUGCAUGGUUGUCGUCAGCUCGUGCCGUGAGGUGUUGGGUUAAGUCCCGCAACGAGCGCAACCCCCAUUGUUAGUUGCCAGCAUUAAGUUGGGGACUCUAGCAAGACUGCCGGCGUAAGCCGCGAGGAAGGUGGGGACGACGUCAAAUCAUCAUGGCCUUUAUGCCUAGGGCUACACACGUGCUACAAUGGUGCAUACAGAGGGUAGCGAAGCAGCGAUGCGGAGCCAAUCUCAGAAAGUG
rnacentral:rRNA from 1 species